rnacentral:misc_RNA from 1 species
CUGGAAUCGCAAGAUCCCACAACCCCUGUGAACCUACCGAAACGUUGCCUCGGCGGGUGCCCGGCCCUGCGCCGGGCGCUGCGCCCGCCGGCGGCCCCCUACUCUUGCCUCUGCAGCGUGGCAUCUCAGAGUCCCAGAAAACAAGUCA